GCCAUUUAGCCGAAUAAGAGGCUAGCGCAAAUGCUUUUACCUAUACCCUGAAAGACCAUUCCUUCGCUCUACGAAAGCAUAGGAAAGAAUCCAAAGGAAAACUGACAACAAUAAUAGAUAGGGCAAUGGGCAUACAACUCAAAGAUGAAGCUUACAAAAGAAUACAAUCAAUCAAGCUUCCUUACUUGAGAAAGAGGAUGCCCUUAAAAAAAGACGGAAGCAGCAAAGAGACACACCUACAAGAAGAAGUCUUAGGGAACGAAGGGGACAGAAUAGAGUGAAUCAAGGUUGCUUCCUUCCUAGCUAAGGAAAAAAAGAAAGGACCUAAAAAGCCAUUCCAAUAUAAGGAAGAAUCCACAUUUCCAAUCGGCGAUGGAUGAUCAAGCAGCGGGACAAAAGAUUCAAUUAAGAGAUUGACCCACUCAAAGUAUUCCUAUAACAUACGAAAAGUCCUAUAGUCAGUCCUUCCUUCACUCAGCAAUAGCGGACUUGGAAGCAACCCGGAAAAGGAUCCUUAGCACCCAACCCCUCGUUCGGACCUUAGUCUCAUUCUCAAAGAAGGAGAAUGCUCAACAAACAGAAAGACGAGUAGAAUGGACUGCUUACACAAGCAAGAGCUAGACAGAGGGGAUGAAAGGAAAGAUUGAAAGAAGGAAAAAGAUGACGAUCGCUCGUGAACCAUGACUAAUGGGGAACUUCACUACCUGCGGGAGAGCAGUUAGAUUAACUCAAAAAGGAAAAGGGAUUAGGCGCUUACUGAUAGGAGUAGGAUGCUUGAAAGGCUGGCGGAUACGAUUUCA
rnacentral:misc_RNA from 1 species